rnacentral:rRNA from 1 species
UACGUAGGGUCCGAGCGUUGUCCGGAAUUAUUGGGCGUAAAGGGCUCGUAGGCAGUUCGUCGCGUCGGCUGUGAAAACCCGGGGCUCAACCCCGGGCCUGCAGCCGAUACGGGCAGACUAGAGUUCGGCAGGGGAGACUGGAAUUCCUGGUGUAGCGGUGAAAUGCGCAGAUAUCAGGAGGAACACCGGUGGCGGAAGGCGGGUCUCUGGGCCGGUACCGACGCUGGAGGAGCGAAAGCCGUGGGGAGCGAACAGG